rnacentral:misc_RNA from 1 species
GAUGAAGAACGUAGCGAAAUGCGAUAAGUAAUGUGAAUUGCAGAAUUCAGUGAAUCAUCGAAUCUUUGAACGCACAUUGCGCCCCCUGGUAUUCCGGGGGGCAUGCCUGUCCGAGCGUCAUUACAACCCUCAAGCUCAGCUUGGUGUUGGGCCCCGCCGCCCCGGCGGGCCCUAAAGUCAGUGGCGGUGCCGUCCGGCGCCGAGCGUAGUAAUUCUUCUCGCUCUGGAGGUCCGGUCGUGUGCUCGCCAGCAACCCCCAAUUUUUUUCAGGUUGACCUCGGAUCAGGUAGGGAUACCCGCUGAACUUAAGAAUAUCAAUAAGCGGAGGA